GCCUGGGUGGCUCAGUCGGUUAAGCGUCCGACUUCGGCUCAGAUCAUGAUCUCGCAGUUUGUGGGUUUGAGCCCCACAUUGGGCU
rnacentral:tRNA from 1 species